UAUUCCAUUCCUGAAAACCUUCAUUUUCUUCCAGCGUAACAUUUCAAUUUGAUUCUCUUUUAUUUGGUACUUCAUCUUAUUUGGAUCACUUUUCAUCCAAUUUCCCUAUGAUUACAAGAUCCUCUGCAGGUUUCCUCACUUGUAGUUUUAAAAAGGUGAAAGAAAUUAAAUUGAAAUUCAUAUCCCACUGAAGAAUUUUCACUUGAAGUCAGAAGAAAUGUAUAUCCUUCUAAUGUAUAUAUAAAUCCAACUAGAAAAGUGUUGAGUUCCAGAGUGCACAUAAUGCUGAAAUGUUAUUUGGCAGAAUCCAUUUUCAGAGUAGAAACACAUUUAAUCUUAAAAGAUAUCAUGACACAUUAAUGAUUUGUUUACAGAUUCCUGGUAGUUUUAAUAGUCUUCAUGGAGCCUCUUGAGUAGACAUUAAUUUUCAAUGGUCUCUGUAUGAUUUAGACAGAUUUAGACAGCUUUUUAACUAUUGUGGUUGAGAGUCAGUUUUAUCCAUGGAUAUGGUCUCUCUGAGAAGAUAUUUCUUCUAAAAAGCUCCACACACUAAUUAUGCCACUAAAAUACUGAGAAAUAAGAGCUCACAUCUGAGUUUGCUUUGAAGUCCUCAGGAGUAUUACAGCCCUUACAAAUUCUAAACAGGUUUGCUCACUUUGCCCAUUUGAUGGCCCUACUCCGGUAAAAGACUGCAGAACAUUGCAAUUUCCUAUGAACCAUCAAACUGCAGGAAAGGGCAGAGGUUGCAUCUCCACUCAGCUCACACUGCCGCUACUGCAGGAUCACGCCGGAUCAGACUGGAUUUCUUCCACAGAUUUUGCAAGAGAGAAUCAUGCUUUAAAGUUCCUCCUUGGCAGGCACAGCAUCAAUCAUCCAGCAGGUUGUUUGUCUUCUCUUCACUGCUGAGACAUUGAGAGGGAUUCAUCAAGUAUUAAUAAGGCCUCUGGGUUGCUUGCCAUGAGCUAUAAAACUGUAGCCAGUAACUCCAAGCUUUGAAAAGAAUAUAUCUCUCUGUUUCAAUAUAUGCUAAAGGUGCUCUUUGAAAUAAUUAAAAAGCAGAAAUACAGGAUAUGGCCAAAACCUUACAGACAGGAGCCCCGCAGUUUUUCAUGUUAUUCCUCAAUUACUUUGUUGAAACAUUUUUAUCUCUACCCAUGAUAACACCUCUGCACAGAUGUGCCAGACAGGACAGGCUUGCCGGUGAAAUCAUAUCCAAGAGAACUGUGAAUUAGUGAGAAGCAGCUUUUGAAAAACAUUGCCCAGUGGAAGAGAAGGGCUUUAUCCGUGUGUAAUAGAUAUGGUUUAUCAUAAUUCAUACAAUGACACUCUGUAAAAUGGGCUCUUUGGGCUUAUGAAGUCAUUCAGUAGACCAUCAAAAGGCAUUAAAAAUACUAGUGACUUCUGAUAAAUAGACUUGCAAAAUAAGCUCUAAUUCAAAGACCAAUGUGUGAGCAUAACGUGUGCAUGCUCACGUGUCUGUUCACAUAUCACAGCAGAGAUGAAGAGAACAUGACUGAACAAAAAGGACUAGAUGCACUAAUGUUUCAAAAGCUGGGGACUAAAAGAAGGGCAGAGGUAGUUCCUGUUUAUGUUUGAGUACAAUGUGUAGGAUAGAAAUCUGAUUCUGGGAUUAGAGCCACAUGGUGCUCUGGGGAAAAUAUAUGUAUUAAUAUUCUCUUUCUGUAACAUUGUUCAGUCUCAUUCCAUUUGCACAAAAUAUAAAUGAAGGCAUAUUAAACAAAA